UACAGAGGUCCCAAGCGUUGUUCGGAUUCACUGGGCGUAAAGCGCGCGCAGGCGGUCCUUUAAGUCUGAUGUGAAAGCCCACGGCUCAACCGUGGAGGGUCAUUGGAAACUGGGGGACUUGAGUGCAGAAGAGGAAAGCGGAAUUCCACGUGUAGCGGUGAAAUGCGUAGAGAUGUGGAGGAACACCAGUGGCGAAGGCGGCUUUCUGGUCUGUAACUGACGCUGAGGCGCGAAAGCGUGGGGAGCAAACAGG
rnacentral:rRNA from 1 species